GCUCCAGGAAUCACCCUGGCUGUUGCCUCCAGCCUCCCCCAGAGCCAUGCCCCAGGCAAUGCCUUCAGGAAUUCUUUCUUUUAUCAGGUUUGUCCCCUCCACAUCCGUGCAAUUUUGUUCUAUCCGUCAAGUUCCAGCACUGGGAAGCAGAAUGAAAAGCAUUAAAUAUUUUCUUCAAUAGUUGGAUGUUAGAUACUUUCUAGGGAAAAAAAUAUAAGAAAUGAUCAAAUGUUAAUAACCUCCAGGUAUAUCUGAGCACAAACCUAAGACAGCAAUGUUUAAAUUCAUGUUUAAUGAGAGGGUCAUACCCAAAGCACAUUUAAUAAAUAAGCUCUGGUUUUCCAGUUUCUCACAUCCAAGUUUUACCACUUUUCAUCUUUACCAAAUUCUCCCCAGGUCAGCUUCACAGGAAUAAGUGGCUUUUUCUUACCAUAUUUAAAUUACAAACUGCUGUAAUUAAAUUAUAAAAUCAGGCCAUUUGGUCUUACUUUUUCUAAGUUUUUUAAAUACAAACCUUCCUGGAGAGGACAGGAAUGCUUUAAAUUCACAGAUUAUUGAACAGAGUCUUGUGCAUGUGGAUAUUCCCCAGAACUGAUUUGAAUCCUCACACUCACCUAAAAUUGAGAUAAACCACUGGAAGAUUUCCAUCUGCUGAGCCAAUUCCUGCUGUCCCAGCUGGGGAUUUUCCUUUUUUUUGCCAGAAUUCCAAGAAGAAACUCUUCAUCCUGAGGGAUUGCCUGGGCUCUGGGGGAGGUUUCCUGCUGGUCCUGGUGCACUGCUUGGCUCACAUCACUGCUGGGGACCUCAGCCACGACACCAACCCCCUCUUCCUGAGCCUUUUCCACCAGGCUCUGAAGGCCUGUCUCAGUGAGAUGUUCUCCCUCAGGCUGCAGCUCUCAGCAGCUCCCCAGGGGGAUAAAUCCCAGGGGAUAAAGCAGAUGCUGCUCAAGGAGGAGCCAUUCUCCACAGAGGAAAUAAACCUCAUCUCCCAACUUUUUGAAGUGAGAGUGAAAAGUCAAACAGACAUGGAAGCCUUUGAGAAGAACCUCUUGCUCCGUGUGAAAUCUGAGGAAUCACUCAACAACAAGUGGCUGAUGAAGAAAAAAGAGAAUUUCCUUCAUCCCCUGAGCAGCAGUGGAAGGGACAGCCUCCGACAGAGGGCACACCUUGAAGGGGAAGCUGUCAAUUCCUUGUUCCCUUCAGCACUGGAGGAUAAAGUGGAUGCAUUAACUGAGGAGCUGCUGCAGAUCAUGGAGGAUGAAGAGCAGUUUUUAAGCAGUAAAGGCAAUGAAGAUCUGCUCUCUUACUACCUUGAAAUAACCAGUUUGGAGAAGGAGAGUUUGGUAAAACAAAUAAAUGCAUUAGAAGAGGAAAUAGCCCAGGGCACAAAGUUGUGA
rnacentral:lncRNA from 1 species